UCGUUAGGCUUUCAAGUAUUUUGAAAUUUCAAAUAACUGAAACUUGUUUUUUCCUACAAACUAUGUCAAAAGCUGUGACAAAAAUGAAACUUGUUUUUUUUUCUACAAACUAUGUCAAAAGCUAUGACAAGAAAGUAUAAAGGAUAAUAUCAUGUCAGGUAAUUUUAUUUAGUUUGUGUAUCACCCCAUGGUAACAGGGAUACAUAUUAUAUGAGGCACUGCGAGCCCGCAGUAAGCCAGAUCGGUCACACACUGCACCAGUGUUGUCUCUUUGAUUGUUGAUUGUGGUUUGCAGGAAAAACAAAAUGAGAUAUUUGGCAAUUUGUUGUCUGCUUAUGCUGGCAAUAGCACUGGCGCACGCUAUUCCGAGUCAACGGUUUCAUGGACUGAGAUCAUUGGCAAAGGCAAAAUCAGAGAAAAGGUUUGGUGGACCGAGUGCUCCACUCAACAGACUUAGGAGCUUACUGGCUAAGAGCGGCGGUCAACAGUUAAGCAAAAUGAAGAAGAGACAGCUCCAGUUUGUGAAGAUAUCUGUAGGUUCGAUUUGAUUUGGGAUUGGGCUUGGUAUCCUCAAGUUUUUCAACUGCUGUUUGACAGUUCCUUAAAUUGUACAGAGGAUAAAGUUAAGGAAAUGGAAUACCAGUUUGUAUUUGAAUAUCAUAUAGCAACAGGUAAGACUCAAUGUAAAGAAAUGUCUGCAGUAUGUAAGUAAGGGUUAUAUAGAAUUGACAGGUAGAUAUCCUUAAGAUUAUUUUGUGUAUUGUUAAAGCUGACCUUACACGUCCAUGAUAUAUACAUAUAACAUGCCGGAUGAUUUGUUAUACUACCGCACAUAAAGGCUAUCUACAAAUGGACAAAUCCAACAACUUUGUGAAACGGUACUGUGCAGUCUGACAGCCCAGUACUAAUCAAGAAUAAAGUGCUUUUUAUCUACUAACCUCUGUACCAAUACAACACUUUUAGAACAUUUCCAGUGAUUGCAUAUAAAUUGCAGCUUUCUCACAUUUACAUCUAUUGUUUUGACAAUAUCAGCUUUAUUGUUGGGAGACAACGAUUCCGUAACUGUGCAAUUUAGAGGGAAAAUUGAGAAUUGCUUGACACAGUACAUUAUUUUUUAACGUAAUGGUAAUCUGGCGCUCAUCAGUUUUAUCUUUACUUAUUUUAUCGUACACGUUUACUUUUGAAGACUCAAAUACUUGUUUACAUACCGUCUCUAUGUUAAUACAUGUUUGAAAAUCCUAUUUUAUUUGCCUUCUGCCGAAAUAAAUUAUUAUUGUGCCGAAAAACAGUACACGAGUACCUUAAUGUGUUGAUUACUCGGUGAUUUCUUUUCAAGAAAGGUGAUACACAUUUUAUAUAAAUGCAGUUGAAAUUUAAGUUGGUAACAAAUUGGAAGGGGGUUUUAUUUUGGCGCUUUUUUAAACCAUUUCGUUUUAUUCUUUUAGAGUCAACCAUCUUUUUUCAACAUUUUGUACCUAAACUGUUUGGUCGUUCAUGCUGAUUUAUACGAUCAAGUGUAGUUACACAACAACGCUUUUCCAAUCAUAACAUUCGCUCGUAUUUCCUACAAAUUGUGUAUACAGCUCUGAAUGUUAGUGGAUCCAAACAGAUUUUAAAAAUUUCGCAUAUUAAAAGUUAAAAAAAAACAGCGUAAAAACAAAACCAUCUGCCUUUAAUCUCCUUCAAGUUCGUUACCAAAACGAAAGAAAGUAUUUUGGAAAGAUAUAGAUUGCUUUAAAAAUCCAACAGCAAGUAAAUUUUAAGUAAUGUGUAAAAUACGAAGUUGGGUAAUGGGUAGAGGGGAAACGCAUAGAGGAUAUUUGUUUGUUUGUUUUGAGUAAAUAUGGCGUGUAAAAUGUGAUAGCGGUGAGUUGUAUUGCAUAUUCAAGGAAAACAAUAUUUUUCAUUUUAUUUUCUGCUGAUGUACUUCGUAAUCCACAUUUUGCAACAAUUUUAAUUAUGUGGCGUUAUUGUAAAGGAGAAGUAACCUAUGAAGAGUAAAGCGCGACUUCUCUAUGGCUGUGUUUUUGGGUGCUCUGUGCUUCCGGUAAAUCUACCCUCAUUUAUUUUUUCAAUUAUCAUCAAUUACAUGUUUUCAUUACAAUAAGAUAAGCUUAUGCCACAAGUCGGGUGUGCUAAAGGUUGUAAGACUUAUUAUGUUACCUGUGGAUAGAAAUGUAUACCAGCGUGUCUUUAAUAAAAAGGACAGUCUUAGUGAUCAGCAGUCAUUUGUCUUCACUGUCUAAUUAUGUGUUUUCACCAGUUUGGUAUAUGUAUGUGUGUUCUUUGCAGGUGAUGAAUUGGUUAGUGACAAAGACUUAAAGGCAAUGUGGGCAGAACGAAAGUCUGAUCUUAAUUUGGAAAAUUUCGAAGAAAGACUUGAACUAGAAGAACAAUGGCAGAAGGAUGCCAUGGAUAAGUUCGAAGCUAAGGGAGUCCAACCGACACCAGGUCUGCCUGAGAAAUAUGGCUGUCUUAUAAACAAAGUUUACGGUACUCUCUGGUUUUUAAAGUGUCUCGAAGCAAAUGAAUAUGAUUAUGGCUUUUGUCUUGAGCUUGUUUCGGAGAAAAAGUAACAGGAACGACUGUACAGCAAACCAUCCCAAAAUGUGACCUUUGCAUACCCCGAACGGACAAGACAAUAGAAAUACAACUCUCUCUCUCUCUCUCUCUCUCUCUCUCUCUCUCUCUCAAGCAUCAUUCCAAAACAUAUGAUCUUCUUCAUCCUCAAGGUCAGGCAAAAAGAACAAACAAACAAUAACAAAAAAAGUAUUGUCUUCAUUAAAUAUUUUAUAUACAUUUCAUGAAACAAUAUACCACAUUCAUAGAUACAAACAAGGAAAAGCGUAAAGGUCAUGUUCAUUUCCUGCAUGUGCUACAUUUAGGACUGGUUGAUAUUUUAACUUUAUUUUGUCUAAGCAUUUAGUUUCUGAGUGUUAGAAUACCAAGUUCAACACAUUGAUAACCAGUAUUCAACAAGGGUACGGAUGUUUUUCUCUGAAUAGAAUAAAAGAUUGAGUUAUAAAACAAUGAAGGAAAACAAAUUGACAUUAUUCCCAUGUAGUCGUCGAUACCAACGGAGACGCGUCAAAAAAUCUUCUUUUUUCUGUUUCUACACCUUUGCCUAUGAAUCAUCUCAUCUAAUGUAUUGUUGCAUAUCUUUCCUUCAAUAAAAAUCUUGAAAAAAUGG